AAUCAGAACAGCCUGACUCUGCGAUCAGUUAGGUUUUUGUUAGUCUGGGUUGCCACACAGAAGGUUGUAUCGCCUACAACCUAUCUAUUGGUGGAAUUACUCUGGAUCGGAAGCUUUGUACUGAAUGGAGGACUGUGCCUUGUGGGUACUCUGCUCAUAAAGGACCAAGACACAGGCAACAGAAGCCACACUGUCUGGAAGCCAAAGAGGGCAAGGCAGGCCAGGCCACCUGAGCCGCUCACCCUGGAGAUGAAGGCUCUGCUUACAAGACCAGUUAAUGAAUAGAACUCAAGUCCAUUGUGUAUGUCUUAAUUAGAUUCGGAAUAUCUGAAUUUACCAUUGUCAGCAUGAGACAGCACUAAACAGCAGCUAGUGGCUCCAGCCAUUGAGGAUUAGAAGUGGAGGAUGCUGGCAAGUCCUUCAUGAGACUGCAAAAACUGCUAUGAACUGUACAUAUCAACUUCCUAAUGAUGACGUAGGCCUUUGCUGGGUUGGAACACCUCUCCUAUGAAGAAAAACUGAGAAAGCUGAGACUGUUCAGCCUGGAGAAGGCUCAAGGGGAUCGCAUCAGUGUGCACAACUGCUUGAAGGGAGGAUGCAAAGAAGACAGAGCCAGGCUCUUUCCAGUGCUUCCCAGUGGCAGGACAAGAGGCAAUGGGCACAAACUGAAACACAAGGGGUUUCCUCUAAACAUCAGGAAGCACUUCUGUACUGUGCAGGUAAUGGAGCACUGGCACAGAUUGCCCAGAGAGGCUGUGGAGGCUCCUCCUUGGAGAUCUUCAAAAGCUGCCUGGAUGUGGGCCGGGACAAUCUGCUUGAGCAGGGAUUGGGCCAAAUGGACCCAGAGGUUCCCUUCAGCCUCAACCCUUCUGUGAUCUUGUGUUUACUUUCAUUAUUACUAGCUGACAAGUAGUGCUUCUAAAUGCCUUAAAAAGUUGAGGAAAUUUCACAAGAUUUUAUUUAUUUGUUUGUUUGUUUGUUUCUUUUGCUGUCUUUGCAUGGCAAAGACUUUCCUUUACUGGUAUUCUGACAAGAGAAAGUUCAGGCUCAAGCUGCUGGAUGUAUGUUUAUAUUGUCUUCUCAAUUUGUUUCCUGUGUGUAACUGUAGUGAGAGUUUUUUGAGGAUAGAGGGGUCUGAUCAUCACUUACUUUAAAUUGUAUAGUGCCAUUACUGCCCUAUAUCUGCUCCCUAGAGUCUUAGUACUAAACUGAAAUGUACUUAUUUGCAGCCAUGCUAGAUUCCAUUGUCAUAUCUUAAUGUAGGAUAAUACUGUAAUUCAUUAAUAUUAUGUUCUUUAAUGAGGCCUGUGACUCUGUGUUUUUAUAUAGGAAUUUGCACUUGUGAUUUUCUUUGCUAAUUUAAGUACAUUGUCCACCAUCAACUUAAAAUCUAGUAUCAAUUUAAAAUUAGGAAAUGAUGAGUCCUGUGAGAAACAUCCCUUGCUUGUUAUUCUCUCAGGAUUACAGUGUGUGAGAAGUGUUCCAUGCUGCUUUUUAAUUCCUGUUUGUUAUUGAUUGUUUUUAGUUUGCAGUUUUACUUUUUGGUUCUCUGAAAAGUUCAAAGCUCGUAACUGGUAACAAAUGGGGCAAAACUAUUUAAACUUUCAUGUCAGAAAUUACACAAAAAGCCAAACGCAAGUGCUCUUAAAGUUUUGUUUACUUCUCAUGCCCCAUAUUAAUUGCACAGAUUCUCCUAUUGCCUCAUGAAGAACCGGAUCCUGGUUACAGCUGGGCAUUCAUUAGCAAGCAGAUCACACACACAGCUGUACAAUAUAUACAGACCUGAACUACAGUCUCCUCAACUGGUGAACACCCACCUCUGCCACUGAGCUCUGUGGAAAAUGAAAUCUAAAUUCAAGAUCAUAGAGGAACUUGAAGAAGGCAGAGACCAGUCAGGAAAGAUAAAAGCAACUGGAUUAUCGUAUUGGCAUUUUUUGGAACAUUGAUUUUGGCUGGUUAAUUUUCAGAUAAUUAAAGAUGUAGUCAGGUCUAGGGAUUUUAACAAGGCCAAGAAUUGGCCAAUGUUAGUGCCUUUCUCACAGCAUGAGUCCUUGGGCAUACCUCCUGUUGAUACAAACAAGCAAUUGAUCCUGAGCAACCAGAAACACUUAACAACUGAUAACAGUUGCUUAUCUGGUACUAUCAUCUGAGUUUCUCAGUUUCCAUUGCAAGCAAAUUUGGAGCUUUGUGGUACUGAUAGCAUUGUAGAACCGUUCUACAGCACGCCAUCCUUGCAGUAGAUUUGUUGAAAACCAUCUACCAGCUGAUAGGAAUCAACUGUUUGUUUUGAGAUUGUUUCAGGGAAGAAGUUUUUAUUAGCAAAACUGACUACAGCCAACCUCAUUUUCUCUCUCUGGCAGCUUGUUCCUAGCCACAACUUAGAGCUUGUCUUGGAAAUAUUAAUGCAGUUGAAUUUUGCAGUCGUGGCUGCAUAGUGAAACCAAGGAAAGAUCUCACUUCUGGUGCAGUCUUGUCAAUAUCUAAUAGCUACAAUGAUCGUUUAUCAAUAAAAAGGAAAGUUUGAAAGAUGUGUGAUGUUAGAAGGUUAAUGAUGUGAGACUCAAGGAUGCAGACUGUAAUCUCGUUAGUAUGCUAUUAUGGCAAUACACAUUCAUAAUUCAGAGGUUUGAUAUACUUGGUGUUGAUUAAAAGAAUUAAUCCAGCCAGCUCACUGAGGGCAAUGUGCUAGCUGGCAGGCACUGGUAAACAACAAGGCAGAGCAGUGUAAUCACCUGUAAGGAUAAAUACAGGUGACACAUUCACAAUAGUAGAAAGUAGAUCCCAGGCAGGCAGCAAACACUGCCAUUGCCUAUUUCUGGCCUGCUUGGACAAGCUGUGGGGAGGAGGAUCCACACUAGCAUUUGGAAGGGCAAAGAAAUCAAAGGACCAGGGACUCCCCAGUGAAGGAAGAGACAUUUCAACAGCAAAAGAAAAGAAAGGUUUGACAAGCAUGGAAAGUAUUGGUGAGAGAACCUUUAAUAGGAGGAGGGAAGGAAGAGUCAAAAUAAGCUGAAAGCUACAGCGUUAAAAUAAAGCAAGGGAAACCCAAACCAGAAAGAUGUGACACUGGGAGAAAGGUCUUUUCAUAGACCAGGGUAUAGAGAUGCUUAAUAUCAGUGAAGCCAAACAUUUAGUAUGUAUCAUCACGCGCAACACUUAUGAAAAAAAAAAAAACUUAAUUAACUUUCCUGUGUUCCAUUCUGGUUCUCUGUUUCUCCUUGUAAUCAAACACGGAUUAACUAAUGAAGAAUAUAUAGCCUGCAAGAUAUUUCUUCUGCAAACAAUACAUUCCAUUUUGAUUCAUUAAUGGGUUUUGGAUGUACUGAAGUUUAUCGGCAGAUUUACUUUUGUUCCCCAACACUGGCUUGCACUGUUGCAGGUAAAUUAUAUUCUAACAACAGACUUUUUUCAAAAAGAAAACUUUCGAGUGGUGUGGCAGCUGUACAAAAGCGCUUGUAUUUUAUUGUCAAACUAGACAUGGUAAGAAUGUAACAGCAGUGAAAUAGAGGAUGUUAGCAC
rnacentral:lncRNA from 1 species